rnacentral:lncRNA from 1 species
GUUUCCGAAGAGCUUCUGCAGAACAAGGUAGCUCUGAAUAUACUGGGGCAAAUUCUGCUCUCCCUGAUUUUGCUUCUGCGUUUUCAUUAACAAGCUGGGGCUGGAUUUGGCCCCUCUGGCUCUGAAGCAGGAAGCGUGCUGCAGACCUCAGUGCGACGUAGACAGCUUCUUAAAAACCUUUCAUAUUUCAUGAUCGCUGUCGAUUCUCUUAUGAUCAGCGUUGGUUCAAGCUCUCAUGAAUCAAAAAUCAGUUCAUGGCAUGCGUCUUAGAGCAAUCUAUUUGUCUGCAGGUAGCAAAGGGAAACGGCGCUUUGAAGAAUAAAAUCCCUUUGCCUUCAGAGCGACGCAUGGGCGGCAGGGGAGGCUGGAGCACCAGACGGGAGCUUAGACCUCCUAUUCAGGCUCAGCCCUGGGCAUGCUGGGUGACCUUGUGUUCUCCCAUUUUCUUCUGGUUUCAGUCCGCCAGCUCCUGACAGCUCGAAUCAAAUGCCUGCCCAAACCUGGAUGGCCCAAGGAGCUGGCAUGGCUGAGGCACAGCUUGGAGCAGCUGGAGCGAUGCGUCUGUUGCACCGGAGCUGUCGGCCAUGCUGUUCCAGUUCAGGGGCUCCUGCAACAGAAAAGAUCAGCUGUUGGAGAACCCAUGGAAAGCCCUGGGGGAGAGCCAUGGCCGCAAGGUAAUCAGCAGGCAAAGUUAUUACCAUUAUGCUGCUAAUUAAUUCCCAGCUCAUUACGUUUCCUGUGGCUAAUUUGUACUCGCC